UAUGAUUUAUAGAAGAUGCUAUGUAAGAUGAUGACAGCAUACUCUGUACACGUGAGUUCAGCAUGGUUCGAUGAUGUAUGAUUUGUUUUAAAGAAAACCAUGACUACAAGGACCUACAACAAACCUAAGUCUGCACAAGGGGUAAAUAAAUAUAUCACCAACUCUUACCUACUUGGACCUUAUAGAUCCUGAAGAUUUUCUUGGAGACAGGUCAAAAAGCAGAUCCAAAAGAAUUAAAGAAGACACGAGAUAUUAAAAAGAAGACACGAGGCAAAGGAUAAUAACAAAGCUACAUCUCCUUUCUAAAUUGAAAGCGCACUCCAUCUAAGACACCCAUGGCCAUAUCACCUGAUUUUCACACUGCGGAGAAGCCUACUGGGCAAUCUGCUGUCACUCAACUACGAUACACACCAGCUGCGGAAGGUGAUGUUUUUAAGUUCAAUGGUUUGAGUUUAUGAAACAAAUGGUUGCCCAGUUGCUUGUGCUGUUUGCAACACAAGCAUAUAGAGCUAAAAUUAUCAACCACCGGAGAAAGCGAUUUUCUGAGACAUCACCAUCAGAAGAGACUAAGUGGAAAAACCAAACUCUUAAAAAGGCUGCAAGCGAAGAGAACGUACCUCAAUAUGAGGUUGCUUGCUAUUAUGAAAGCGAGGUGCACUUGGUGUGUAUACAUCAUCCAGUGAAUCCAAGCUUGCUUCCCUUCACAUAUGCACAAGAAGUGUACACAAAAAUCUAGCAAUCAAGGAACAUUUGACAAUCACAAUUAGACUAAGCAAGGAAGAUGUACCUGCACUGUAGCUAAAACACUAGAACAUAACUGCAUACUGUACAUGUCCCGUAGUUGAUUGACUUGAUUCUGUCAGA